UACAGAGGUCCCAAGCGUUGUUCGGAUUCACUGGGCGUAAAGGGUGCGUAGGUGGUCAGGUAAGUCCGAUGUGAAAUCUCCAGGCUCAACCUGGAAAUGGCAUUGGAUACUAUCUGGCUUGAGGAGUGGAGGGGGGACUGGAAUUCUCGGUGUAGCAGUGAAAUGCGUAGAGAUGCGGAGGAACACCAGUGGCGAAAGCGACUUUCUGGUCCUUAACUGACGCUGAGGCGCGAAAGCAUGGGGAGCGAACGGG
rnacentral:rRNA from 1 species